GUCGAACGAUGAAGCCCUUCGGGGUGGAUUAGUGGCGAACGGGUGAGUAACACGUGGGCAAUCUGCCCUUCACUCUGGGACAAGCCCUGGAAACGGGGUCUAAUACCGGAUACCACUCCCUCGGGCAUCUGCGAUGGUCGAAAGCUCCGGCGGUGAAGGAUGGGCCCGCGGCCUAUCAGCUUGUUGGUGAGGUAACGGCUCACCAAGGCGACGACGGGUAGCCGGCCUGAGAGGGCGACCGGCCACACUGGGACUGAGACACGGCCCAGACUCCUACGGGAGGCAGCAGUGGGGAAUAUUGCAAAUGGGCGCAACCUGAUGCAGCGAGCCGCGUCGGGAUGAGGCCUUCGGUUGUAAACCUCUUUCAGCAGGGAAGAACGCAAUACGGUACCUGCAGAAGAAGCGCCGGCUAACUACGUGCCAGCAGCCGCGGUAAUACGUAGGGCGCAAGCGUUGUCCGGAAUUAUUGGGCGUAAAGAGCUCGUAGGCGGCUUGUCACGUCGGGUGUGAAAGCCCGGGGCUUAACCCCGGGUCUGCAUUCGAUACGGGCUGGCUAGAGUGUGGUAGGGGAGAUCGGAAUUCCUGGUGUAGCGGUGAAAUGCGCAGAUAUCAGGAGGAACACCGGUGGCGAAGGCGGAUCUCUGGGCAUUUACUGACGCUGAGGAGCGAAAGCGUGGGGAGCGAACAGGAUUANAUACCCUGGUAGUCCACGCCGGUAAACGGUGGGAACUAGGUGUUGGCGACAUUUCCCCGUCGUUCGGGGCCGCAGCUAACGA
rnacentral:rRNA from 1 species